AAACCAACAGGGAUUGCCUCAGUAACGGCGAGUGAAGCGGCAAAAGCUCAAAUUUGAAAUCUAGUACCUUCGGUGCUCGAGUUGUAAUUUGAAGAUGGCGACUUUGGGAGUGGCCUUUAUCUAUGUUCCUUGGAACAGGACGUCACAGAGGGUGAGAAUCCCGUCUGAUGAGGUGAUCCACUCCUUUGUAAAGUGCUAUCGAAGAGUCGAGUUGUUUGGGAAUGCAGCUCUAAGUGGGUGGUAAAUUCCAUCUAAAGCUAAAUAUUGGCGAGAGACCGAUAGCGAACAAGUACAGUGAUGGAAAGAUGAAAAGAACUUUGAAAAGAGAGUGAAAAAGUACGUGAAAUUGUUGAAAGGGAAGGGUAUUAGAUCAGACUUGGCGUUGUGUGAUUAUCUUCCCCUUGUGGGUUGUGCACUCGUGCUUCGCUGGGCCAGCAUCGAUUCGUGUGGCAGGAUAAUAGCAUUGGAACGUGGCUGCGCUUCUGUGUAGUGUUAUAGCCUUUGUUGAUACUGCCUAUGUGGAUCGAGGACUGCGUCUUUUGACUAGGAUGCUGGCGUAAUGAUCUAAUAUCGCCCGUCUUGAAACACGGACCAAGGAGUCUAACGUCUAUGCGAGUGUUUGGGUGUGAAACCCGUACGCGUAAUGAAAGUGAACGUAGGUGAGAAUCUUCGGAUGUAUCAUCGACCGAUCCUGAUGUCUUCGGAUGGAUUUGAGUAAGAGCAUAGCUGUUGGGACCCGAAAGAUGGUGAACUAUGCCUGAA
rnacentral:rRNA from 2 species